CCCGACGCCACGAAAAAGGGUCCAAGGAUAUCUAUCCCCCAUUGCGCAAACGGCCAUGGGGCACUCAAGGGGGUAAGCUCGGUGGCGGGCUGUCUCUGGAUGUUGGCAUAUCUCUGACAUCGGUCGCACUUUCUGACGUACUCAAUUGAGUCACGAUGCAUAGUCGACCAGUAAUAUCCUUGGCAGAGAAACUUGUGGGAUAAGGAUCUAGCCCCCA
rnacentral:lncRNA from 1 species